CCCUUAGAUGUUCUGGGCGGCCCGCGCACUACAAUGGCGUGUGCAGCGAGUGCCGAAGUAGAGUUUUCCGAGGUAUUCUCGCAAUGCUCGUUUUGAUGGGGAUAGACCCUUGCAACUGUUGGUUUUGAACGAGGAAUUCCUUGUAAGCAUGGUUUAUCAUCCGACGCUGAAUGCGUCCCUGCCCUUUGUACACACCGCCCGUCGCUCCUACCGAUUGAACGGUUUAGUGAGGGCCUCGGAUUGGUCUCGGCCCGCUCUUUACCGGGCGGCGCCGUUGGUCGAGAAGACGCUCGAACUUGAUCGUUUAGAGGAAGUAAAAGUCGUAACA
rnacentral:rRNA from 1 species